UUUUUUCUUUUAAAAUUUUUCAUUUUAAGUUGGUUAUUUCUGAUUAAUAUUUAAAAGCAAAUAAUAAUGAUAUGGUAGGAGAUACACACCAAACAGGAUGUGUAAAUUAUUAUAUAAUAAGUAUUGUGCAAUAGCAAGAAAUUUUCAAUUGCACAGUAUUGCACAAAAGCAAGAAAUCUUCAAUUGCACAGUAUUGCGCAAUAGCAAGAAAUCUUCAAUUGCACAGUAUUGCGCAAUAGCAAGAAAUCUUCAAUUGCACAGUAUUGCGCAAUAGCAAGAAAUAUCCAAUAGCACAAUAUUGCGCAAUAGCAAGAAAUUGUCAAUUGUACAGUAUUGCACAAUAGCAAGAAAUAUUCAAUUGCACAGUAUUGUGCAAAAGAAGAUACUUCGUAUAAAUUGCUUAUUUCUUGAUCAAUUUCAAUGGGGUUUUAUUUUUGAAUUCUUGGGGUUCUUUAAUAUGCUGAAUCUAACCGUGUAUUAAGUUUUUGGAUUUUGGGCCCCAUUUUUAAAUUGGUCCACAUUGAGGUCCAAAGGGUCCAAAAUUUAACUUUGUUUGAUUUCAUCAAAAAUUGAAUUAUUGGGGUUCUUUGAUAUGCAGAAUCUAACCGUGUAUUUAGAUUCUUAAUUUUUGGUUCCGUUUUCAAAUUGGUCUACAUUAAGGUCCAAAGGGUCCAAAAUUAAACUUAGUUUGAUUUUAACAAAAAUUGAAUUUUUAGGGUUCUUUGAUAUGCUGAAUCUAAACAUGUAUUUAGAUUUUUGAUUAUGGGCCCAGUUUUCAAGUUGGUCCAAAUCGGGGUCCAAAAUUAAAACUUUGUUUGAUUUCAACAAAAAUUGAAUAUAUGGGGUUCUUUGAUAUGCUGAAUCUAACCAUGUAUUUAGAUUUUUGAUUUUUGGGCCCGUUAUCAACUUUGUCCACAUUGAGGUCAAAAGGGUCCAAAAUUAAACUUUGUUUGAUUUCAUCAAAAAUUGAAUUCUUGGGGUUCUUUGAUAUGCUGAAUCUAACCAUGUAUUUAGAUUUUGGAUAUUGGACCAUAAUAGGUGAAUGUUCAAUUUAAAAUUUUUAAGUUCUUAGACCACAUUCAUUCUGUGUCAGAAACCUAUGCUGUGUCAAAUAUUUAAUCACAAUCCAAAUUCAGAGCUGUAUCAAGCUUGAAUGUUGUGUCCAUACUUGCCCCAACUGUUCAGGGUUCGACCUCUGCGGUCGUAUCAAGCUGCGCCCUGCGGAGCAUUUUAUUUCAUUUUAUUUCUUUUUGUAACGCAUCACAAUUGGAAUAAUAGUACUGUAGUUGACGAGGAUCUGCCGUCAAUUUUGAUUUGACAGUCGCAAAUUUCCUUUUACCGUCUAUGCUACACGUCGCCAGUAAAACUCCAUUUGUGACUAAUAAAUCGCCAAUUGACGGCAGUACCUCUACAACUUCAGUGCUAUUAUUCCUUAUAUAUAUUAGUACUGAAAAUGAGAAUAGGGGUAAAGAAAUAGAUUAGUAUUCAAAUUCAGAAAAGGGAUGUAAAGAAAAAUAUAAGUUCUGAAAUUGAAAAAAAGAGUGAAGAAUAAGAUAAGGUCUGAAAUUGAGAAUAGGGGUGUGGAAUAAGAUAAGGUCUGAAAUGUGAAUAGGGGCGAAGAAUUAGAUAAGGUCUGAAAUGAGAAUAGGGAUUAAGAAUUAGACGAGCUCUGAAAUGAGAAUAGGGAUGAAGAAUUAGAUAAGGUCUGAAAUGAGAAUAGGGGUGUGGAAUUAGAUAAGGUCUGAAAUGAGAAUAGGAGUGUGGAAUUAGAUAAGGUCUGAAAUGAGAAUAGGGGUGUGGAAUUAGAUAAGGUCUGAAAUGAGAUUAGGGAUGAAGAAUUAGAUAAGGUCUGAAAUGAGAAUAGGGGUGUGGAAUUAGAUAAGGUCUGAAAUGAGAAUAGGGGUGUGGAAUUAGAUAAGGUCUGAAAUGAGAAUAGGGGUGUGGAAUUAGAUAAGGUCUGAAAUGAGAAUAGGGGUGUGGAAUUAGAUAAGGUCUGAAAUGAGAAUAGGGGUGUGGAAUUAGAUAAGGUCUGAAAUGAGAAUAGGGGUGUGGAAUUAGAUAAGGUCUGAAAUGAGAAUAGGGAUGUGGAAUUAGAUAAGGUCUGAAAUGAGAAUAGGGGUGUGGAAUUAGAUAAGGUCUGAAAUGAGAUUAGGGAUGAAGAAUUAGAUAAGGUCUGAAAUGAGAAUAGGGGUGUGGAAUUAGAUAAGGUCUGAAAUGAGAAUAGGGGUGUGGAAUUAGAUAAGGUCUGAAAUGAGAAUAGGGGUGAAGAAUUAGAUAAGGUCUGAAAUGAGAAUAGGGAUGAAGAAUUAGAUAAGGUCUGAAAUGAGUAUAGGGGUGUGGAAUUAGAUAAGGUCUGAAAUGAGAUUAGGGAUGAAGAAUUAGAUAAGGUCUGAAAUGAGAAUAGGGGUGUGGAAUUAGAUAAGGUCUGAAAUGAGAAUAGGGAUGAAGAAUUAGAUGAGGUCUGAAAUGAGAAUAGGGAUGAAGAAUUAGAUGAGGUCUGAAAUGAGAAUAGGGGUGUGAAAUUAGAUAAGGUCUGAAAUUGAGAAUAGGGGUGUGGAAUUAGAUAAGGGCUGAAACAAGAAUAGGGGUGUGGAAUUAGAUAAGGUCUGAAAUGAGAAUAGGAAUGAAGAAUUA